rnacentral:rRNA from 1 species
AGAGUUUGAUCCUGGCUCAGAGCGAACGCUGGCGGCAGGCCUAACACAUGCAAGUCGAACGAACUCUUCGGAGUUAGUGGCGGACGGGUGAGUAACACGCGGGAACGUGCCCUUUGGUACGGAAUAUCUCAGGGAAACUUGAGCUAAUACCGUAUGUGCCCUUCGGGGGAAAGAUUUAUGGCCAUUGGAGCGGACCGCGUCUGAUUAGCUAGUUGGAGAGGUAAAGGCUCACCAAGGCGACGAUCAGUAGCUGGUCUGACAGGAUGACCAGCCACAUUGGGACUGAAACACGGCCCAAACUCCUACGGGAGGCAGAAGUGGGGAAUAUUGCGCAAUGGGCGAAAGCCUGACACAGCCAUGCCGCGUGGAUGAUGAUGGUCUUAGGAUUGCAAAAUCCUUUCACCGGCGACGAUAAUGACGGGACCCGGAGAAGAAGCCCAGGCUAACUUCGUGCCACCAGCCGCGGUAGUACGAAGGGGGCUAGCGUUGCUCGGAAUUACUGUGCGUAAAGGGCGCGUAAGCGGACAUUUAAGUCAGGGGUGAAAUCCCAGAU